GUGCUCGCUUCAGCAGCACAUACACUAAAAUUGGAAUGAUACAGAGAAGAUUAGCAUGACCUCUGAGCAAGGAUGACAUGCAAAUUCGUGAAGCAUUCCAUAUUUUU
rnacentral:snRNA from 1 species